UAAAACGUAGGAGGCAAGCGUUAUCCGGAUUUACUGGGCGUAAAGCGCAUGCAGGUGGUUUUGUAAGUUGGAUGUGAAAGCUCCUGGCUUAACUGGGAGAGGUCGUUCAAAACUACAAGACUUGAGAUUGGUAGAGGAAAAUGGAAUUCCGGGUGUAGUGGUGAAAUGCGUAGAUAUCCGGAGGAACACCAGUGGCGAAAGCGGUUUUCUGGACCAAUUCUGACACUCAGAUGCGAAAGCUAAGGUAGCAAACGGGAUUAGAGACCCCGGUAGUCUUAGCUGUAAACUAUGUGAACUUGGCGUCGGUGGGUUCAAAUCCAUCGGUGCCGAAGCAAACGCGAUAAGUUCACCGCCUGGGGACUACGGCCGCAAGGUUAAAACUCAAAUGAAUUGACGG
rnacentral:rRNA from 1 species